UGGGGAAACAGACGUGCAACCGCCAUUUUGCGCAUUAAUUCACCAGAGGUCGGGUCAGAUUGUGUUAAUGCAGGCAGAGGGGUGUGGCAGAUCUCCAACCGCUCGGGGUCCCGCGACUUCCAUUAAUGAAUUCGCACACUGGCCGUUACCACUCAACACACCGACGAUCUUAUGCAUUGCACAAAGUCAGAAUACUUGGUUGCAAGUGACAGAAAUUCAACUCCUCCAAAAAGGAUUUAUUGGUUCAUGUAAUUUGGAAGUGCAAGAGUGCAUCUUAUGGCAAGAGUGCAUCUGAAGACUCAAAUACUGCUGUCAAGACUCUCUCUCCAACUCUUUGUUUGCAUUGCUUUAUUCUUUUAGAGUCUACCCUAGUGGCAGACAAAUGGCUGCCAGACAAACUCAAAUCUCCCAGUUAAGCAAUUGCAAUGGAGGAAAUAAACCAAAUAACUCUC